UAGCUGUUCCUUACAGCCCAUGUGGCCUC
rnacentral:sRNA from 1 species